rnacentral:rRNA from 1 species
UACAGAGGGUGCAAGCGUUAAUCGGAAUUACUGGGCGUAAAGCGCGCGUAGUCGGUUAUUUAAGUCGGAUGUGAAGUCCCCGGGCUCAACCUGGGAAUUGCAUUCGAUACUGGAUAGCUAGAGUUCGGCAGAGGGAAGCGGAAUUUCGGGUGUAGCGGUGAAAUGCGUAGAUAUCCGAAGGAACAUCAGUGGCGAAAGCGGCUUCCUGGACCAGAACUGACGAUCAGGCUCGAAAGCGUGGGGAGCAAACAGG